rnacentral:rRNA from 1 species
AAAGCGAGCACCUUUCUCACUCCUUCGCGGGUCAAGACGACGACCUGAGAUCACUAUAGCAACAUCGUAGGUAUAACGUCGGGCUUACCCCAAAAAGCGGAGGAAAAGAAACCAACAGGGAUUGCCUCAGUAACGGCGAGUGAAGCGGCAAAAGCUCAAAUUUGAAACCUUCGGGAUUGUAAUUUGAAGACCUGGCAUUGAGAAAAGCUAACCCAAGUUACUUGGAAUAGUACGUCAUAGAGGGUGACAACCCCGUCUGGCUAACCGUUUCUCGUGUAUUGCCUUGUCAAAGAGUCGAGUUGUUUGGGAAUGCAGCUCAAAGUGGGUGGUAAACUCCAUCUAAAGCUAAAUACUGGUGAGAGACCGAUAGCGAACAAGUACUGUGAAGGAAAGGUGAAAAGAACUUUGAAAAGAGAGUGAAAUAGUAUGUGAAAUUGUUGAUAGGGAAGGGAAUGCUUGUAGAAUGGGCGAGGUUUCAACUAUCUUUCGAGAUGGUGUACUGCCAACCCCGGGUUAUUGUUAGCGAUUGUUGAGGGAUAAACGAAUUACUUCGGUAAUCCUCCUACCUCAACUCCUGCCAUCAACAACGUAAUACAAGUACUCCACCCGUCUUGAAAACCCGGAAACA